UAUCCUUUGGGUCCUGGAACUGCUGGUCUGACUUUCUCCCUACCCCCCACCCCAGUCCCUCUACCCUAAAGCCAAGACUCAAGUUCCCUGGAUGCAGAUGGGGCCAAGAGCUGAGGAUCUAGCUGAGUUCACAGAUGAGUAAACCAGACUGCCGAAGACCUGGUGAUUUGCUUGAGGGAGCAUGGCUGCCAAAGAAAUUCCAAGAGUCUCAUGAAGGGUCACAGAGAUGAACAUGCAUCUGGGGUUUUGAGGGGCUCAGAUUUAAGGCCCAAUUUGGCCCUUUCCCAGCCCUACAGUCACCUCUGCUGGAGUCCUGCCUUCUUCCCCAGGAUUAAACAUGAGGCUGAUCAUGAAGGCAGAAGACUGGAGAAUUUUCCAUAUGUUCCAUGCG
rnacentral:lncRNA from 1 species